GAAUGCUAAAAGAAUGGAAAUUUAAAAAAAAACUUUUUUAAAAAUAAAAAUUGAAUUUUUUUUAAUUUGUGCAAAAACAAUUAUACUUAUUAAAGACAAGAAGACCCUAAGAAUUUAAGAUUUUACAAUUAAAAAGUUUUUUUUUUAAAAUCUUGAUUGGGGCGAUCAAAAAAUAUUAAUAACUUUUUAAAAUUUAAAUUGAUCUAUUAUUAAUAAACUAAUGAAUUAAAUACUCUAGGGAUAACAGCGUAAUAAUUUUUGAUAGAUCUUAUUGACAAAAUAGUUUGCGACCUCGAUGUUGGAUUAGGAUUCUUUUUUAAUGAAGAAGUUAAAAAA
rnacentral:rRNA from 1 species